AUUGAACGCUGGCGGCAGGCUUAACACAUGCAAGUCGAGCGAGCGGCGGACGGGUGAGUAAUGUCUGGGAAACUGACUGAUGGAGGGGGAUAACUACUGGAAACGGUAGCUAAUAACGCAUACCAUACGAUGUGCCCAGAUGGGAUGAGCUAGUAGGUGGGGGAAUGGCUCACCUCGGCGACGAUCCCUAGCUGGUCUGAGAGGAUGACCAGCCACACUUGAACUGAGACACGGUCCAGACUCCUACGGGAGGCAGCAGUGGUGAAUAUUGCACAAGGGGCGCAAGCCUGAUGCAGCCAUGCCGCGUGUGUGAAGAAGGCCUUCGGGUUGUAAAGCACUUUCAGCGAGGAGGCGUUACUCGCAGAAGAAGCACCGGCUAACGCCGUGCCAGCCGCCGCGGUAAUUC
rnacentral:rRNA from 1 species